rnacentral:rRNA from 1 species
UACGGAGGGUGCGAGCGUUGUUCGGAAUCACUGGGCGUAAAGGGCGCGUAGGCGGCGUGGUAAGUCAGCUGUGAAAUCUCCGAGCUUAACUCGGAACGGUCAGCUGAUACUGCUGUGUUAGAGUACAGAAGGGGCAAUCGGAAUUCUUGGUGUAGCGGUGAAAUGCGUAGAUAUCGAUAGGAACUCCGGUGGCGAAGGCGGCAUACUGGUCCACUUCUGACGCUGAGGCGCGAAAGCCAGGGGAGCAAACGGG